rnacentral:SRP_RNA from 1 species
AAUCUGUCAUGGAUAACCUAGUGGAAGGCUCACCGCCAAGUCGGCAACCUAGCUGCGGCAGCAAUGCCAGCAGGUCAAAGGUGCCUGGUACGAAUCCUGGGGAAGUCAUCUUACUCGGGCGAGUAAUCCCCGACGCUAUCUGGCUUUAAGUUUGGAAAUGACCCUUGAGGGAAGAAAUUCUGCAGAGACAUUUCCGCCCUGGGAUGGCGUCGCCAGAAUACACCGUCCUGUUACCAGGACGCUGGCUAUUUGGUGUGACAACUGCAUCUU